CACAGAUAUCAAAAAAUCAACAAUACAAAAUCAAAAUUACAAAAAAUUUUAAAUACCAUUUUUAUUGAGUUUGUUCCUAUUUAAAAAAUCUGAAACAAAUUUUAACUGAUAUUUUUGAUGCUUAUAUAGUAAUAGGAAGGUAUACUCUGUGAUUCUCUUUUAUUUAUUUAUAUGUAGUCUUAUUUUUUCCAAGUAUAUGUAUGUAUAACAUAAACAACAUAAAUUGAGAAUAACCCAAAGAAAAAUGCAAAGAGCAAUGUUGGGAAUAACAAGAACAGUUAUGGUACCAACUAGGUAGUGAAAGAGAGGACCAAAGUGACAUGUCCUAGAAAAAAUUGCACAAGCCAAAUGGAGAUGGGCUGGACAUGUAGCAUGUUUAAAUGGUAAUAGAUGGACCAAAAGACUCAUAGAAUGGAGACCUAGAGAAGAUAAAAGACACCGAGGUAGACCACCAAAAAGAUGGAUGGAUGACUUGAGAAAAACAGUGGGAAAUUGGAUACAGAUGGCACAAGAUCGAGAACAAUGAAAGAAUAUGGAAGAGACCUAUAUAGAACAGUGGAUGCAAGAGGUUGAGGAAUGAUCAUGGUGAUGAGGAAUAGAUCACAAAAGCAAAAUUAUUAAUACUGUUUCACACAAAACUCAUUUGGGGACUUAGAAAGUAAAGUCAAAAAUGGAUAAGUGGAGAAAUAUAUGGUGGUUUUCAGCAGGCAGUUGAAGGUUGGGCCUAGGGGCCUCAGGAGGUUGGGCCUUGGUUGACUAUCUAAAUGAAUUAUUGCAAUUUGUAAUUCGUUUUAAAGCACAACAACAGAUAUUACUGGAAAUCUACAUUCAUCUCCUGAAGAUACCCAACCAAUGAACGAAAGUAACAACGUUGAGGCAGCUGAUGAAGAACUGAAAAAAAUUAGUUAACUACUCCGUCUUUAAAGUUCGCUGAUAUGACUUGAACGUCAGGAUGGUUGUUGAUGAUUUUAGAAAUUGGCAACAUGGAUGCAAUGGAAGAAGUCAAGAAAGAGUUAAAUAAACUAAAUAAAAGUGAUUUAAUUAGAAUAAUAAUAGGAAAAAAAGUGCCUACGGACUUAAAAACAAGUAUUAAAGUGAUACAAUAUGUGGAAAGUGAAAAAAUAGGGUCCCUUGAUGCAACUGAUGAAAUCCUUGAUAAUUUCAUAGCUGACAAUGCUGAACCGGUAAGUGAAAUAACAUUAAAAUACGAGCUGAAAAUCGCAAAUAUUCAAGUAGAGGCCUCCACACGCCUAAUUAAAGAACUGGAAAGAACUAUUAGCAACAAAGAUUUAAUUAUUAACCUUUUACAAAAUCCUGCAAAUUUAGAGGUUAAACACGAAUCAAAUACCAAUACAGGGAGCAGCGUUGCCGUACCUUCUCCGGAAUAUGUCGCUACGGGAAAUGGCAGAAAAAUCAACAGCAAGCCAGAGAUACGCCAAAAUAGGCAAGUUACACACCAUCAGGUCUCAAGUGCAUUAAUGCAAGUACAGCAAAAUAUAAAAAUGAAUGAUAUCCAGACAUUAGGUCAAAAUGUUAGCCAAACUCGAUCAGAUGGAAAAAUUGUUGGCAACAAUAGCGACAACGUGGACAUAGCAUCAAAAGACAAGGUGUGGGUGUACGCUACCAAGUAUAAAACAUCUUACACUACAGAAAAAAUGGAAAAUUACCUACAAUCUAAGUUCCCUGGGCACGAGUUCUCAUGUACAUUGUACAAAAACAAGAUAAAAGGCUCCAAUUCGUUCAGAAUCUCAGCUGAUGCGGAGCUUAGAGAUACUCUCUUCAAGCCGCACACAUGGCCUAGCGGCAUAGAAGUAAGUGAAUAUUUUUUUCGUAGAAAACGUACCUUCCAAAAAUCUCCUAAGGACAGCGGAUCUACUACAAGAAGAUAACAUAAGUGAAAUUGACAUUCUCAGUAGCUGUGUGCCAUUUAAUGUUUUGUGUCACCUAAAUGUACAAAGCUUAAAUAAUAAGGCCAAAAAUGGAUUAAGUGGAGAAAUAUACGGACUGUUUUUAGCAGACACUUGAACUAGCGGUGGCAAGUGAAGGAAACCCUACUAUCUAAAGGAAUCAUUGCAAUUUGUAAUUCCUUUUUAAAAGCCGGCAACAAUAGACAUUACUGGAAACCUACAUUCAUCUCUUGAAGAUACCCAAGCAAUGAACGAAAGUAAUAACACUGAGGCAGCUGAUGUAGAUCUCAUAAUCAGUUGUAGAGGACAAACAGACUACACAGUCAAUCGCAGAGCAAAUUCAAUCUCCCAAGGAGAGAACCGAAAAAACAGACAAUCGCUGAUGACUUGAAAUUCUGGAUGGUUGUUGAUGAUUUUAGAAAUUAAUUGUCUUAAUAGAUUGGAGUUGUGGGAAUUGUCUUCAUUUAGGUGUUAGUAAGUAUUUUAUUCAAAAAUUCAACAGAUUUGACCCAACAUUCCAUACAUAACAGCUGAUCUUAUGGCUGUUUUAUAGGGUUUGUUCCAACACAACGAGAAGCGCCAUGUAACGAUCACGUUACUAUAAAAUAAUAUGUUCCAUGCGUUCUGUGUCUGUAUAUCGUGCGUUCUAUGGGUUAUUUUGGUUACUGCGCAGGGCUGUGAUCGUUACAUGGACGGUUUCUCGUUGUGUUGGAACAAACCUAUAGACUUUUUCCUUCAGCUUCAUUGGAAUUUUUCUGUCGCAACACACCACUAGCUUCAUUCCGCUUCAUCCAACCCUAAUUCUACUGUAUGCAUCUCCACCUGUAAUACUGAUCCUAGAUACUUAAAUCUAUUACUUUUCAUAAUCAUUUUACAAUCCAAAGAUAUCAUUUUAUUUGUAGUAACUCGCAUCUUUAAAUGGACAUUCCAAAUACUUUGUUUUUGUCCUACGAAGCUUUAAACGUUUUUGUCCAAGAGUUUUGGCCCUAUUUUAAGUCCCUGUGACUAUUUCCUACUAACACUACAUAAUCAUAAUGGCAUCUACACUGUGGGCCGAAAUAAAGGAGUACAUUUUUUAGUUGAAAAUAACUUUUUUUGUUUUUUGGGCGAUUUAAUUUUUUUUGCAGGGCUAAUAGCCUAACAUGCCCUCAACACGAUUGCAAAUUUGGAAACAAAAACAACGUACA
rnacentral:misc_RNA from 1 species